rnacentral:rRNA from 1 species
CACGUACUAUCAGAGUUUGAUCCUGGCUCAGGACGAACGCUGGCGGCGCGCCUAACACAUGCAAGUCGAACGGAGAAAGAAACAGCUUGCUGGAUCUUUCUUAGUGGCGGACGGGUGAGUAACACGUGAGCAACCUGCCCCUCAGAGUGGAAUAACGUUUGGAAACGAACGCUAAUACCGCAUAACACCAUUGGAUGGCAUCAUCCGAUGGUCAAAGAUUUAUCGCUGAGGGAUGGGCUCGCGUCCCAUUAGCUAGUUGGUGAGGUAACGGCCCACCAAGGCAAUGAUGGGUAGCCGGCCUGAGAGGGUGAACGGCCACAAGGGGACUGAGACACGGCCCUU